AAAGACAUCCAAAAUUUGGUUUGUUUUGCUAGUCAGACAGUUCUGAAUUAUUGGGAUUUGGGCUCUGCCGAAUUUUUGUUUGGCUGACCUUAAAUGAUUUAGCCAUAUCAUGAAAAGUUUUGGGCGAUAAGGCGUAAAUAUUUGGUACUCUUUCGUGUCCAUCCCUUUCGCUGAAGCCUGUAUAUUUUGUGAAAAUUUGGCUCAAUAAUAUGGAAAAUUGAAAAAAUAUAAUAUUUUCAACCAUUG
rnacentral:misc_RNA from 1 species